ACCAGUCUAAUUAGCCUCCAAAAUACCCAAAAUCGAGAAAAAUUGUAAACAACAAUUUUAUUGCAGAAAAUGGUUCGGUAGGUCAUUGGAAAUGAAACAUAUGAGUUUGAAACUCAUAAAAAGUUGAGCGUCAUUGUUUCAAAAAGAUAUAAACGAGCUUUUCGCAUAUGAAAAGAAAUGUAAUAAUUUUUCAGAAAAAGGAUUCUAUUGCGGAAUAUAGCCAUUGGAAAGAUCUGCAAAAUAAUAUCCAUAAAGUUAAAAUCGAUCGAUACGUUAACUUGCAACAAAACAAAAAACCGGUAACAUUUUCUUAAAGAUUCUCUAAUUAUAGCAUUAUAACGAAAAUUGCAUAUUUAAGAAAUUUAAAUUAUAUGACAUUUGUUAUUGUCACGUAAAAUGUCAUUUAUGUCAUUUAUGUCAUAUAUAAAUAGUGAACAAGAAAUAUAAAAAAUAAGAAACCAAAAAACUAAAAAUUUUGAGCUUGAAUAUAAUUUUUGAAAGAAUUGAUUGUAUUAUCUGUCAAUACCUCAUUGAGCUGCCCCAGAUUUUUAAAAAUCAUCGUUUUACGUCAAUUUAUUGCUGAGAUAAUGUAGGUACCAGCAGUUUGAUUCAAUUUUAAUUCGCAAAUUCAAUUUUAGACGUGUUCGCAGAUAGACCGACGCAUGUCGCCACUGUUCCCACUGCGCAACUGCUCGCUAUCUCGUCCGUAUACUGGAAUUUCAUGACUUAUUAAAGUUAAAGCAGGUUUUCUGAAAUAAUUCAUUCGAAAAUUGAAGGGCAAUUAAUUCCAUUGUUUUACACUUUGUGAAAUUUUUAGCUCUUAUUGUUAAGAAUUACUUUUUUGAAAGAAAAAAGUUAUCUCAUGAAAGAAAACUUUUCUGUAAAUUCGUAGGAAAGAAACAUAUUUAUUUUCCAGAACCAUUUUUAGAUGAUUUAAUUUAGAAAUAUUACUUCAUUUCAAAAUGUAUACGAUAGUGCAAGUAUUAAAGAAUAGAAAGCAUGCUCAUAGCUUACUAUGCAACUUAUCAAAGGCGGAAACGAUCGACACAUCAAGCAUAAAAAGAAGAUUAAAAAGGAAACACCCAACAGAUCUCACAAAGGACAUAACCUAACAAACACGAUGAUGGUACCCCGCUGGGGGUAGCCACCCACAUGUUAUAUUAGUAUACAGCUACAACAUUUUACCAAAUGUCCUACUGGACAAAUUGUAAAAUCCAAAUAAAUAAAUAAAAAAAAUUAAAAAAAAAAA